GCGUGAGUGAUGAAGGCCUUAGGGUUGUAAAACUCUUUCGCUGGGGAAGAUAAUGACGGUACCCAGUAAAGAAGCCCCGGCUAAUUUCGUGCCAGCAGCCGCGGUAAUACGAAAGGGGCUAGCGUUGUUCGGAAUUACUGGGCGUAAAGCGCGCGUAGGCGGCAUGCCAAGUUGGGGGUGAAAUCCCAGGGCUCAACCCUGGAACUGCCUCCAAAACUGGCAAGCUAGAGGAUGUGAGAGGAUAGUGGAAUUCCGAGUGUAGAGGUGAAAUUCGU
rnacentral:rRNA from 1 species